rnacentral:rRNA from 1 species
AUUGAACACUGGCGGCAGGCUUAACACAUGCAAGUCGGGCGGUAGCACAGGGGAGCUUGCUCCCUGGGUGACGAGCGGCGGACGGGUGAGUAAUGUCUGGGAAACUGCCUGAUGGAGGGGGAUAACUACUGGAAACGGUAGCUAAUACCGCAUAACGUCGCAAGACCAAAGAGGGGGACCUUCGGGCCUCUUGCCAUCAGAUGUGCCCAGAUGGGAUUAGCUAGUAGGUGGGGUAAUGGCUCACCUAGGCGACGAUCCCUAGCUGGUCUGAGAGGAUGACCAGCCACACUGGAACUGAGACACGGUCCAGACUCCUACGGGAGGCAGCAGUGGGGAAUAUUGCACAAUGGGCGCAAGCCUGAUGCAGCCAUGCCGCGUGUGUGAAGAAGGCCUUCGGGUUGUAAAGCACUUUCAGCGAGGAGGAAGGUGGUGAGCUUAAUACGUUCAUCAAUUGACGUUACUCGCAGAAGAAGCACCGGCUAACUCCGUG